UGCCUAAUAGCUAGCCCAAACCACCCCACCAAAAACUAAUUAUAAAUACCCCUUAAUAAACUUAAAAAAUUUAAACAAACCAUUUUUCCACCCUAGUAUGGGCGACAGAAAAGGAACAUAGGAGCAACAGAAAGAGUACCGCAAGGGAAAGCUGAAAGAGAAAUGAAACAACUUGUUUAAGCCAUAAAAAGCAGAGAUUAAAACUCGUACCUUUUGCAUCAUGAUUUAGCCAGUAAAACUCAAGCACAGCGCCCUUUAGUUUGAUACCCCGAAACUGAGCGAGCUACUUCAAGACAGCCUAUCUAAUUAGGGCAAACCCGUCUCUGUGGCAAAAGAGUGGGAAGAGCUUCAAGUAGAGGUGAUAAACCUACCGAGCCCAGUUAUAGCUGGUUGCCUGAGAAAUGAAUAGAAGUUCAGCCUUUUAGUUUCUUAACCCAAACCAGACUUACCCAGACCUGGGAUCAAGAAAUUAAAAGAGUUAGCCAACGGAGGUACAGCUCCUUUGGAAAAGAUACAACUUUAUUAGGAGGUAAAAGAUCAUAGUUAUUAUCUAGGUAUAUUGUUUUAGUGGGCCUAA
rnacentral:rRNA from 1 species